UUCCUCCCAACAAACGCGCGUCAUCAGGGCAAUGCGGGUAGGAGACGGAGGACGUGCGCGACCGCAGGCUGUUUGCUUAUGUGUAAGUCAAUGUGGGGGGCGGAGUAAGCGGUGAUCGGCCAAGAAGAGUCCGGAUGAGCCCUCUUCCUCUUGCCGCCCUGGCGGGGAGGAGGCACGGGGUCGGUGCUGCUGCUGGCUGGGAGGCAGAGAGGAACAAGCGCUGCCUUGCUGGCCGAGGAGAGUCCCUGAGUCACAAACAGGAACUCUGUGGAUCCAGCCUAACCACACAAGAGGACACCUCUGCAUCAAACACUGCAGUAAUUGUGGAGACUGAGUCUAAGUUGGCCCGAAUGCGAGAGAUUUCCCCCACAAAGAAUUCAUUAAGCACAUCACAGCAGGCUAUCUUCCCAGAAAGUAAUGGCUGCCUGCCUGUGCCCAGACCUGAGCUUGUAAGUUUCCUUUAUUGUGGCCACGGAAGGUGCAGCUUUGUUAGUUCCAAGAUGCCGCAGAGACCUGGAGAGGAUGAUGAAGAGGGUUUCCAGGACUUGGCGUGCCGUCUGCGCUCAGCAAUCACUCAGGAGCCGUGUCAAGUCAUCUUUUGCAACCGCAGCCCACGCUUGGUGAUCCCCGUCUGGCUGGACUUUGAUGGAAGACCACGUGCCUAUCCGACUUUACAGCCGGGCACGGGGCGCCGAAUGAGCAGCUACUUGGAACAUCUUUGGUUAUUCAGAGAUGCAGGGACAUAUGAUAGUCUUCUUGUCAACCAGGCAGAGUUGUUUGUGGCUACUCGCAAUCUGAAUGGACAGCCCAUACUUGCAAACAUUACAUUACCAGUGUUCACUCUAAAAGAAAGGUGUCUUCAGGUUGUCCGCACCUUGGUGAAACCAGUGGACUACAGGAGAUUAGACAUUGUUCGGUCAUUAUAUGACGACUUAGAGGAUCAUCCAAACAUCAGGAAGGAUCUUCGGCGGCUUUCUCUGGAAUGGAAUGAAAGGCUGAGGAAUGGAGGCCCUGAGAGAAAUGAAGACUCAUAAGUGGGAAAGCUGUUUUCACUAAAAUUGCCAAGUACAAGCAUUUUCAUGGGUGUGUUUGGAAGCAUCCCAUGUUUUGGUUUAGCUUGUGUAACUUCACAACAUGGGGAUGGCCAGUCAAGAGAUAACGAAGCAAGAUACUGCGGUUGAGUAUACAUGGCACAGAGUCUUUACAUUUGUUUCAAUCAAGACCAAGUACAUAGAAGACCAAAUGUUGCUGAACUUAUUUUCAUUAUUCAUUAUUCUGAACAUUUUAUUAUAGAUGUUUAGGAAAUAAACUGUAUAUUGUCAUUAGUUGGGCAAAAGAAAUCUCAUACCAAGGGAUACAUUAUCCUGUAAUUCUGAGUGUUUAUAAUGUAGAAUGAAUAAGUUUUAUGGAUUUGCUUCUUCUAGUUGUGCCAGUGGCUUGCUACGCCAUUGUUAUCUCGGAUAGUGCUCUGAUGUGCUUCCAGUCUGCAGGAUCUAAGCUCUGCCAUAUGUUUGCCCCUUGCUAAUCUGUGUUGCAGUGGAAACUUGGUAUACUGUAAUGGGAACAUAUAUGGAAGCCAAAUUAGAAUAGUUGCACUCCAUAUUUAAACAGGAACUCUUGUUCCUCCUAUUUCAGCCAAAGCAAGAGUCUGACAUCCCUGUGUUGCAGGCAAAAUGUUAUACCAGAGCUUUCUUUAACCCUGGUUCAGAUAUCUCUGCUUCAGUGUAAGUGAAUGAAGUGCGUGUGGGAACAUCGUCCCGCUCUCUGAUCAAAACCAACGUUGUAUGAACAGUGGCAAAAGAUGCUUUGCCUUUCUUUCCCCUACCUGAUACACUUACUUGCUUUUAAGAGCUUUACUGGAAAUGAUAAAGUAGCAUUGGGAAGUGGACUAAUUUUUUUUAUGUUUUAAGCUAUAGAGAGGUGAGCACUGGAACACUUUCAUAAUCUUCCAAUAUCUUAUGUUUCAACUAUAAACAUGUUAGUUUACAUUAUUAUGCAUGUCAUUAUCCUACAUCAGCACUGAUAAUUGUCACUAUUUGAUCUUUUGCACUUAUAUCCAGUUUCGUAGAAAUUCUAACCAGACUGAUGUGAAACGAACUUGAGAACAUCAAGAUGUACUAAAGUAGUCAUAAAUGCUCACCUACUAUAUAGUCAUUAGCUGCUGAUGUGAGGUUCUGAAACACAGGUUUGGAGAGGCAAGAGGAAGCAGAUAUCUUCACAGUGGACUUCCCUAGCUCUUGUAAUGUCGUCAUUUCUGUGGAAGACAUCAGAGAAGAAAAAUAGGGAAUGGCUGGAGCUUAUAUCUCUGGUAAGCAAAGGGAUGCUGAUUCAUGAUCAAAGUGAACUACACUGAUAGAAUCUUCAAAUCUUCUAGAAAACUUUAAUCAAAUUUUGUUACAAAAAUCAAUAACAAAUAUUUGCCUUGCACUUGGUUGUCCUGACAACAAAAUAGUUGAAAAGAUGUUCAUGUUGUAUUAUGGACAUCCACAGUGAUGCUUUCAACUAGAGAUAAUUAGUCUGUAUACUUUCAUUCUAUCAGCACUACUUUUCUUGUGCUCACCCAACUGUAUCACAAGAAUAUUGACUUGUAAGCAAUAGGACACAAUAUAAUGUUUUGACAGCUUCCUAUAGUUUUGUGAUAAAAAGCAAGAAUUGUCCCCUUUGCUAAGCAGAGUAUGCUCUGGUUUGUAUUUGAAUAAGAUGUGUGAGUACUGUAAGAAACCUCUCAGGGGAUGGGGCUUCUCUGGGAAGAGCAGAAGGUUCUAAGUUCCCUCCCUGGCAUCUCCAAGAUAGGGCUUAUAGAGACUCCUGCCUGCAACCAUGGAGAAGCCACUGCCAGUCUGUGUAGACAAUACUGAGCUAGAUGGACCAAUGGUCUGACUUGGUAGAAGGCAGCUUCCUGUGACUGAAUCAUGGCUAUUGAUUAUUUAAUGGAGCAGGAGCAGUAUAUUUAGUGAUAUUUUUAUUUAUUUAUUUAGUAAAAUAGCUUUUUUCCAUCUCCAGAACUAUUAUCAUUUUCCUAUAUUUUUUCAGGUUAUUUUUCAGUAGGCUUAUGAGAUCACCCAGCAUUCUGUAUGUGUCCCCACACACCCCACCUUCACAGUGCCUGGACCAAUAUGAACCAAAUCAGGUACAGUUGUAGGGACACCUCAUAUGCAUAGUUUAUGAUGUCAUCCACCCUUAUUCAAAAUGGCAAAUGCAUAGACUUUUGAGGUGCAAGUAGACUAACUUGUGAACUGCCUAACUGACUUUAACCAAAUUUGGUACAGUUAUAGUGAGUGUAACACAAGGACAGCUCAAGGGCAUAGUUUGUAAUGAUGUCAUGCACCUUGAUCCAAGGGGGUGGACACAUGAACAUUUGAGGUGCAAGUGGGACUGAUUUGGACCAAAUUUGGUACAGAUUGAUACCUCAUUUGCAUUGUUUGUGAUGUCACCCACCCGAGAUCAAGAUGGUGGACACAUUAAUGUUUGAGGCACAAGCAGGGGCGAAGUAAGCAUUUGCCUAUCGUGGCAAACAUUUUAGGAGUAGCAAAUUCUGAUGGCCAGGGAAGGGGCUGAGGGAAAGUUCUUAGUCUUCCUUAAAAUUACCUUUUUUAAAAGCACCGCUGUGUGGCAUGGAAUGAAGAAUAGCCACUGACCAGUCAGUGGGCUCAGCAGUAGCGAGGGUGGCAGUGGCAGCAGAGGUGGGGACUCCUGGGAAGUUGGAAGGCUACUCUGGGAAGAGCAGACACAGCUGAGAAGUUGGAAGGCUACUCUACAUACGAGGUGAAGGCCCAAGAGCAUAGCGAACAGGGAUAGCAAACAGGACGUAGAAGUUUAGCGGGAAGUGUGCGGGGGAGCCUGGAACAAGCCCCUGCGAUCACAAGGAGCCUGGUGGAGACGAGAACGUAAGUACAUAUCCCUCCCUCAUUUCCCUCAUAUUCUUGGGAAAGGCUGUUUGGACAGUUAAAUAGUUGACCAUUACAGCUGAGACCUAUCCUAAUAAACUAUCUAAUAAAAGGACAAUAAGCUCCCUAAAUACUGUAAACAGCCAACCAAAACAGUAUGAAGACAGAAGGUCAGCAGGGGAAGGGGCACUUCCCAGUGUAUUGCACAGAGUGCCACAUGUAUGACUAUUUGCCCCAUGGGCAGAAGUCAUGGGUGUGUGCUCGGUGCAAGGAGCUCCUGGCUCUCAGGGAACAAAUUCGUUCCCUUGAAACCAAGGUGGCGGAUCUGGAGAAGCUCAGAGAGACAUGUGGACGAGACCUUCAGGGAUGUGAUAGAGGCAUCCCACUCCAGGGCUGGUAGCUCCUCUGCUGUCAGGGAGAAUAAAGGUCUUGGGCAAGGAGGACAUCAGUCUGAGGAAGAGGGAAAUGCUCCUUUAGAAGGCACCCCUUCCAUGGAUGAUGAGCCCAUAUCCUUUCGCACAGGGGAUACUCCUCUGUGGGGUAGGGGCCUCCUUGUAGUUGGUGAUUCGAUCAUUAGAGAGAUGGAUUUGUGACCCGCAUGUUGACCGCACUGUGACUUGCCUGCUUGGUGCGAAGGUUGCGGACAUUACGCAGCGUCUAGACAGGCUCCUAGGCAGUGCUGGGGAGGAGACCGCUGUCGUGGUGCAUGUCGGCACCAAUAAUGUGGGGAAAUGCAGUCGGGAGGUCCUGGAGCCAAAUUUAGGCUGAUAGGUAGCAUUUUGAAGUCCAGGACCCCCAAGGUAGCAUUCUCAGAAAUGCUACCUGUUCCAUGUGCAAGUACAGUGAGACAGGCAUUGCUGAGAGGUUUCAAUGCAUGGAUGAGACAACGGUGCCGGGAGGAGGGGUUUAGAUUUGUUAGGCACUGGGACACAUUUUGGGGCAAGCAAGGCCUGUACAAAAGGGAUGGGCUGCACUUGAACCAAGAUGGAACCAGACUGCUGGCACUUAAAAUCAAAAAGGUUGCUGAGCAGCUUUUAAAAUGACACCUGGGGAACAGCCGAUGGGAGCUGGGCAGUAUCCUGUGUGGCAAAAGCCAUCCUUUAAAGUGUGAGGCUGCAAAGAAUUCAGAUAAAACAGAAGGGGACAGAGCAGAACCGCAUAAAGAGCAGACGGGAGCCUGUGCCAGCAGGUCAAAGAGUCAAAAGAAUAGCAUACAUCAGGGGAGAGAUUCAGCAUAUAGGUGCUCAUAUGCCAAUGCCAGAAGCCUCCGAGCCAAGAUGGGUGAGCUGGAGUGCUUGGUUGCUAAUGCAGAAAUAGAUAUAGUGGGCAUAACAGAAACAUGGUGGAACAGUGAGAACCAGUGGGACACUGUUAUCCCUGGGUAGAAACUCUAUAGGAAGGACAGGGAGGGGCGCCUUGGAGGAGGGGUAGCACUGUAUGUUAAAGAAGGGAUAGAAUCUAACAAGCUAGAAAAACUAGGUGGACUGGAGUCCUCCACAGAAACCCUGUGGGUGACUAUACAAGGCCGGAAAGGGAACGUGCUACUGGGGACGUGCUAUCGCCUUCUGGAUCAUAAUGCCGACGGUGACUGGGAGUUGCAGGAGGAAAUCAGGGAGGCGUCAAGGAGAGGCAGGGCUGUAAUUAUGGGUGAUUUCAAUUACCUACACAUAGACUGGGUAAAUUCAUAUUCAAGUCAGGACAAAGAGGUCAAAUUUCUAGAUACGCUAAAUGACUGUGCCCUAGAACAGUUGGUCAUGGAACCAACCAGAGAGAAGGCGACCUUGAAUCUAAUUCUGAGUGACACCCAGGACCUGGUGCAUGACGUCAGUGUCAUUGACUGUUACAGACCAGGCCCGAUUGGUAAACCAAAUAUGCUCAAUGGCUAGUAUACAAAAUAGGUCUGGCUCAUAAAUAAUGUCACCAACGUGACCAAGUUCUUUUAUAUUAGUGACCACGUAUGAUCUGGAUGCAAGGAAGAAAGGAGAUCAAACCACUCAAAGAUUCAAUGGGCUUUAUUGAGUAUAAAAAGAACAACAACAUAAUCUAGCAAAUCAGAAAGCAGAGCACUCUAUCAAUAUUGCUACAGUAUUUAAACAGAACAUCCUAGCCCGUACCAAUAUAUUCCACCCAGUGUGCCUAACUGACAUAUGUGUGUGCAAUUAAUCUUCCCAGAGCCUAGUACAGUUUAGAUACAGGCGGAAAAGGGGGAGGAAGGAAGGCUCAGGGCUGGUAUGGUUUUGGGGGGAUCAGAAAUUAGUAGGGGGACGAGGGGAAGGGAGCAGGUGAAGGGGAAGGGAUGAAGGAAUUCCAGGCUUGUAGGAGCAGCAUAUUUACCCAGGACUGGAGCGGAGAACUUUUCAGCUGAGGUCUUUGGCGGAGACAGGAGUUGUUGCAGUGCUCAGAUCAGGCAGCUUGGGCCGCAAAACUCAGGCAUUGCUGUAGUUUCUGUUCAUGGCCAGAAUUCCUGCUUUGCCCUGCGGCUUAGCAGCAAACUCUUGGGAUCCUCGUGAGCAGUUUUUGCCGUAGGCAAAAGAUUGCUGAACUCUCUGUCUAAAAGCCUCACUCUUUAUAGUGUUUUCCUCUUUGAUCCUUGAAUAGAAUCUGUUCACAAUCUCCUCUUUUCCUGGGUGUCCAAAAAGGUGACAACUUGCUCCUACCUUCUGAACAAAAUCUUAAUUAUUCAGGAUAUUGGCCAGUCCAGAGAGAUCUCUGAAUCUCAUCUUCUGCAAACUGUGUGCUGAGAAGGGGGGGGACAUUGCCCACAGCAAAUCUGCAUCUAAGAGCUGCAAUGGCAUCUCCCCAAAAGGUGUUAAAAAGUCAGCAGUUAGUAAGGGGAUUCAGGAUAUUCUGUGUGAGACAGCUUGUGUACCUCUACCCAGUGUUUAAUUGAAAACGAGAAUAUUUAAAGUAUACAUGAAAAGGUGUGUAUGAGAUUUGUAGCAUUGGUGAGGUGAGAAUUAAAAUCUACAGGCAUUUACUGUGUAUGCAUUUUGCUAUGUUGAACUUCCAUGGAGAACAAUACAGUUAAUCACAAACAAGGAUUUAACACUGACUUCUUUGCAACAGGAAAGGAGGGGGUGGGGAAUCAGCCCCCUGGCUCCUUCCACAGACACUUGGUAGUCAGUGGUAUUAGCAUAUGAAUUAUAGCAUUCAGCAUUCA